rnacentral:rRNA from 1 species
UACAGAGACCCCAAGCGUUAUCCGGAAUUAUUGGGCGUAAAGGGUGUGUAGGUGGUUUUAUUAGUCAGUUGUUAAAUACCAGGGCUCAACUCUGGUGCUGCAAUUGAAACGGUAAAACUCGAGUGUAUGAGAGGUGAGUGGAACUCUAUGUGUAGGGGUAAAAUCCGUUGAUAUAUAGGGGAACACCAAAAGCGAAGGCAGCUCACUGGCAUAUUACUGACACUGAAACACGAAAGCGUGGGUAGCGAAUGGG